UAUAUUUUAGUGUAUGAUGCACAAGGAUUUUUGAUUUCCUUAGAAAAAGUUUAAUUCUUUUAAAUAUAA
rnacentral:tRNA from 1 species